GAAUCUGGAACAGGAAGAUGUUGCUCCCCAGGUGCUGCAGGUUGAGUAUCAGGCCGAAGAAGGCUAUGACUAGUGCCAUUCUGAAAAAGCUCCUUUUCCAG